rnacentral:rRNA from 1 species
CACGUAGGCACCAAGCGUUGUCCGGAUUUAUUGGGCGUAAAGAGCUCGUAGGCGGUUCAGUAAGUCGGGUGUGAAAACUCUGGGCUCAACCCAGAGACACCACCCGAUACUGCUGUGACUUGAGUACGGUAGGGGAGUGGGGAAUUCCUGGUGUAGCGGUGAAAUGCGCAGAUAUCAGGAGGAACACCAGUGGCGAAGGCGCCACUCUGGGCCGUAACUGACGCUGAGGAGCGAAAGCGUGGGUAGCAAACAGG